ensembl:misc_RNA Metazoa_SRP Metazoan signal recognition particle RNA
GCCGGGCAUGGUGGUGCAUGCCUGUAAUCCCAGCUACUUGGGAGGCUGAGGCAGGAGAAUUGCUUGAACCUGGGAGGCGGAGGUUGCAGUGAGCUGAGAUUGCACCACUGCACUCCAGCCUGGGCAACAGAGUGAGACUCUGUCUCAA